rnacentral:rRNA from 1 species
CUACGGGUCGCAGCAGUAAGGAAUAUUGCACAAUGGGGGAAACCCUGAUGCAGCAACGCCGCGUGGACGAAGAAGGCCUUCGGGUCGUAAAGUCCUUUUCUGAGGGAAGAGGAAGGACGGUACCUCAGGAAUAAGUCUCGGCUAACUACGUGCCAGCAGCCGCGGUAAAACAUAGGAGGCGAGCGUUAUCCGGAUUCACUGGGCGUAAAGGGCAAGUAGGCGGUUGUUUAAGUUAGGUGUGACAUCUCUCGGCUUAACUGGGAGGGAGCGCUUAAAACUAGGCAACUAGAGGGCGGAAGAAGGGGGUAGAACUCCAAAUGUAGCGGUGGAAUGCUCAGAUAUUUGGAAGAAUACCAGUGGCGAAGGCGACCCCCCGGUCCGUGCCUGACGCUGAGAGGCGAAAGCUAGGGUAGCGAACGGGAUUAGAUACCCUGGUAGUC